rnacentral:rRNA from 1 species
GUAACACGUGGGUAACCUGCCUGUAAGACUGGGAUAACUCCGGGAAACCGGAGCUAAUACCGGAUAGUUCCUUGAACCGCAUGGUUCAAGGAUGAAAGACGGUUUCGGCUGUCACUUACAGAUGGACCCGCGGCGCAUUAGCUAGUUGGUGGGGUAAUGGCUCACCAAGGCGACGAUGCGUAGCCGACCUGAGAGGGUGAUCGGCCACACUGGGACUGAGACACGGCCCAGACUCCUACGGGAGGCAGCAGUAGGGAAUCUUCCGCAAUGGACGAAAGUCUGACGGAGCAACGCCGCGUGAGUGAUGAAGGUUUUCGGAUCGUAAAGCUCUGUUGUUAGGGAAGAACAAGUGCGAGAGUAACUGCUCGCACCUUGACGGUACCUAACCAGAAAGCCACGGCUAACUACGUGCCAGCAGCCGCGGUAAUACGUAGGUGGCAAGCGUUGUCCGGAAUUAUUGGGCGUAAAGGGCUCGCAGGCGGUUUCUUAAGUCUGAUGUGAAAGCCCCCGGCUCAACCGGGGAGGGUCAUUGGAAACUGGGAAACUUGAGUGCAGAAGAGGAGAGUGGAAUUCCACGUGUAGCGGUGAAAUGCGUAGAGAUGUGGAGGAACACCAGUGGCGAAGGCGACUCUCUGGUCUGUAACUGACGCUGAGGAGCGAAAGCGUGGGGAGCGAACAGGAUUAGAUACCCUGGUAGUCCA